UAACGCGUGAGGAACCUGCCUCAAAGAAGGGGGACAACAGUUGGAAACGACUGCUAAUACCGCAUAAGCCCACGGCUCGGCAUCGAGCAGAGGGAAAAGGAGCAAUCCGCUUUGAGAUGGCCUCGCGUCCGAUUAGCUAGUUGGUGAGGUAAUGGCCCACCAAGGCGACGAUCGGUAGCCGACCUGAGAGGGUGAUCGGCCACAUUGGGACUGAGACACGGCCCAG
rnacentral:rRNA from 1 species